UACGGGGGGAGCAAGCGUUGCUCGGAAUUAUUGGGCGUAAAGCGCGCGUAGGCGGCUACCUAAGUCGGAUGUGAAAGCCCCUGGCUUAACUGGGGAAGUGCACCCGAAACUGGGUAGCUAGAGUGCAAAAGAGGGUCGCGGAAUUCCCGGUGUAGAGGUGAAAUUCGUAGAUAUCGGGAGGAACACCGGUGGCGAAGGCGGCGACCUGGGUUGACACUGACGCUGAGGCGCGAAAGCGUGGGGAGCAAACAGG
rnacentral:rRNA from 1 species